rnacentral:rRNA from 1 species
AAAGCUCAAUUUGAAAUCUCCGAGGGGUCCCUCGGCGAAUUGUAGUUUAGAGAACUGUUAUCGAUGCUUAGAGUCCACCUAAGUCACUUGGAAAAGUGCGUCUUAGAGGGUGAGAACCCCGUGCGGUGGCGCUUUAGAUUAAGCACAUACGAGGCAGUCUCGACGAGUCGGGUUGUUUGGGAUUGCAGCCCCAAAUGGGUGGUAAAUUUCAUCUAAAGCUAAAUAUUGGCACGAGACCGAUAGCGAACAAGUACUGUGAAGGAAAGAUGAAAAGCACUUUGAAAAGAGAGUUAAAAGUACGUGAAACCGUUAAAAGGGAAGCGAUUGAAGUCAGCAGUGGAUUUGUUGAGAACAGCGGUGCGGCCUUUUUCUGUGAGUUGGUGCGGAGCGUAAGCCCAAUGCCGACUUUCGAGGAACGCAGUGUGUAUGCUCGACACGAUCCUUGUCAACAUCUAUUCUUCGGGCGAGAGAGGAGUUUGUGGAAGGUAGCUUUUGUUUGGUCAUUUAUGAUUGGAGAAAAGUGUUACAGCCAUUGGCUUGUGUCGCCUUGAGGAUGGAUCAAUUUUUAUAUAUGCGCAGCCGAAUUUACUCAACGUGAAGUUUUGUGGUGUGAUAGUCGGAUUACACGUAAUGCGAUUUGAGCAGUAUAGAGGUGAGCGAGCGGAUAGAUCGGCUUUGUGUUGACGAAAUGGCUUUAACCGACCCGUCUAGAAACACGGACCAAGGAGUCUAACAUAUGCGCGAGUCUUAGGGUGUCAAACCACUGAGGCGGAAUGAAAGUGAAAGGUGAGACCUUGUUUUAAACGGCUUGGGCAUCAUCGACCGAUCUGGAUAUUCUUUGAAAGAUUUGAGUUAGAGCGUAUCUGUUGGGACCCGAAAGAUGGUGAACUAUGCCUGAAUAGGGUGAAGUCAGAGGAAACUCUGAUGGAAGCUUGUAGCGGUUCUGACGUGCAAAUCGAUCGUCAAAUUUGGGUAUAGGGGCGAAAGACUAAUCGAACCAUCUAGUAGCUGGUUCCCACCGAAGUUUCCCUCAGGAUAGCUGGAACUUUUGACAGUUUUAUCAGGUAAAGCGAAUGAUUAGAGGCCUUGGGCGCGAAACGCACUCAACCUAUUCUCAAACUUUAAAUAGGUAAGAAGCCCGACUUGCUUAAGUGAAGCCGUGGCACUGAAUGUGAGUUCCAAGUGGGCCAUUUUUGGUAAGCAGAACUGGCGAUGCGGGAUGAACCGAAACGCGGGAGUUAAGGCGCCAAAAUCGACGCUCAUCAGACCCCAG